UGACGACACAGGAGCAACAGGAAACGAUGGCUGGUCACGUGACGGAGCACCGUCUACGGCGCUGACUGUGGGACAAACUUCAACAGCAACAACAACAAAAAAAAAAAAAGUGGUUUAUAAUAAACUAAUUAAUGUGGUUGUAAGCAGAGUUAACACACUUUUUAAGGUGCUUAUUACUCAAUUUGUUAAAAAAAAAAAACUACUGUAGUAACUCAAAUAUUAUAGUAAUUAGAUUACUUUCCCCUGUAACUAACGUUAAUAGUGUAACUAAUUACUAAUACAUUUCAGUAAUAACAUUACAGCCCCCCCAACACAAAUAAUUAGUUACUAUAUUACUUUUGUUACAUUAUUAUAUUACUAUUAAUAUAGUAAUAGUCACAUAUUUAUAUUAUUUUUUGUAGUUGUGGAGGAAGAUAUUUAUUUUACUUACAUUACUUUUAACAAACAAAACUGGAUUUUAAUUGGCUUAAUGGUGAAUUUUGUGGAGAACAAUUACCAAUUGCUUGGGGAAUAGCAGAAAAGUAAUGUAAUUACUGUUGUAAAAGUAUUCCACGCAGGAAAAACUGUGUGACUGUUAUAUAUUAUUAUUAUUAUUAUUAUUACUCAUGCAUUAAUGUAAAGGCAGGAUUUUACUGUUGUAGUUGGUUGAGUAGGAACUCAUUUUUGCUAUUUUAUAGAGAAACUAAUAACUAAAAUAACUAAUUAUUUUCUUUAUUAAUAGAUUUGAUUGAUUGUUCGGAUUCUAAAACUUCGGAAAAUAUAGUGACAUUAGUCCUAAACUGAACCAUGAAAUGUAUUUUAAAAUGACUAUAAACAAUUAAUAGUCAAAAUCAGAAUAGUUGCCAUACAUUUUUUGUGUAUCUGUAUCAAUCUGUAUUGAUCGACUAAUUAUUUCAGGUUUACUUGUACAUGUUGUUACAUUGAGUAGAGUAGAGUUUAAUCUAUAACAAAAUAUACAAUUUUGGACGCAUAAAUCUGUCAAAUAAUUGUAUUGGAGUAUAAGUAGAAAGAAGAUACUCGAGUAAAGUGACACAAAUUUGUACGUACUUAUAUUUUGUAAGUACAGUGCUUGAGUAAAUGUGAAACUAUGACUGUACAUUCAUAGUUGCAUAUUUUUUUUCCUGUUGGUGGUCCAGCUUUGCCAAUAUAUAUUAUUGGAUCUUAUUACCAAUACACAGUGAAAGUUCUCUCGGUCAAAUCAACAGGCCGCAACAAAUCAAGUCCAUCCAAAUAUAACUUCUGUGAUCUAAUAAGUGUGACUUACUCUUUCAUAAUUAUGAUAAUUAUCUCAAUUUGGAUGUAAUUCAUACAAACAUUUGCUUUGGUGGAGUUUGUUUUUGAGAAUGGGGCUUCAUACAAUGGAAGAAAUAGAACAGAUGAAAAGAAAUGUGACUUGACCUCACCCAGUUUUGUUGGUAUUUGUCAUGUGAGGCUGAAUAGUCUGGUCCUAUUACUCUGACAGGACACACAGAAGGAGUGGCGGAGGUGGUUUAUCUAUCAGUGCGUCAAUAGAAACAUCUGUUUACACAGAGAACACGUUUUCCCACAAAGUUUAUCUCAAAACUUGCACCAAACUGCAUGACACAACUAAGAACACCUGUGGGUGGGUUGUGGUAUCUUGCAGUUUUUUGAGUGUGAUGUGCUGCCUAAAUUUGUCCACUAGGUGGUGCUCUAUUUCCACCAGAGCAUAAAAACUGAGGUCAAAGCACCUGCCCUUGUCAGAUUAGACCAUUAACUGUAUAUUUUUUAUUAAGAUUAGACUUAUUUGGUUGCAUACAGUGCUGUAGUUUGUCAUUGUAACGUUUCUAUUCUAAUUGCGUACCUGAUUUUGAGUGCAAACAUAUGAAAUGCAUUUUAAAUCUAUACACAUCAAUGAAUUAAAUAAAUCACAUGGCAAUAAUUUCUUUAUUGGCCAAAAAAUCCCCAAAUUUGUGUUUGUAUUUUGGUCUUAGGGUUAGUGCCAGCCCUUUUAACCAGUGUCCAUCUGUUAAAGUUGUCUUCCCACUGAAAAUAUAAUAGCUUAAUAAAAAACUAUGCCUUGAAGUUUUCCAGUUUGUUGCACAUCAAAGAGCUUUGGUAAGACACAAUAAAGAUGGAAACCAACAAAAACAGGGGUGGCUGAGGUUGCAUUUCUUAACCAAAACAGACUACUCUGCACAGAAGGUUUUUCCCCGAGACGUGAUUGUUGAAUUUAGCCAUGCUCAAGUGAUUAAAUGUUUAAAAUAUGACAUUUGGUUGUUGACCUCAUCAUUCAGUUGGCAAUCUUAUCAUUAUUGUUCUUAUGUAUUAAUUGUUUGCCUCAUUUUCCACCCUGUAAAUAACUUUUAACUGCUUUUGCAUGAGAAGUGCUAUACGAAUAAACAUAUAUGACAUGAAAA